rnacentral:lncRNA from 1 species
GAGACUAGGAAUCCUGGUCCGAAGGGAAUUCCCAUCCCUCGUAUGGACUUGGUUACCUAUCAGAUAUGUGUAGAUCGAUUGGCCAACAAAAAUAGGAAGGUAUCAGCAUCAUUGGAAUAUUUAGAAGAGUCUACAUUCAGGAGAUUUUAUGCUGUAGGAAAGAAACAGACAGGAUCUGUGAAAGCCCAUGGGUCACACACUAGAUUGCACGUAGGUGCAAGGCGCCCAGCCAUGCUAUCACAAGAGCCCUGCACACGUAGAUACCCCAUCCUGUGCAGGUAGGAGAAGGCCA